rnacentral:ncRNA from 1 species
UCGGUUCCGGUUCACGUUCGGCAAAUAUACGAGCGACCCGGCGACC